GGCAGUAGCUCAGUCGGUAGAGCAUCAGCUUCCCAAGCUGAGGGUCACGGGUUCGAACCCCGCCUGCC
rnacentral:tRNA from 1 species